rnacentral:lncRNA from 1 species
ACCGGCCAGGCAGUAAGUCACUGUGAGUUACUGCUUAUUUUCUUUUUAAAAGAAAAAGUAAAAGAGGUUCAGAGUACACAGAGGAGGAUUAAAAUGACCGUGUUGAAGAUGGAAAGGUCAAGGCCUCCAUCAUAUAGAAAGGUCCAGAGGUGGUGCUGAUAAUCUAGAUUUGACUCUAUCACUUCUCAUGUCACAACAAUACAAACUUCGAUAACUCACAUCUUGAAGAAAAUACAACCUCUUGUCUGGCUCACCAUAUUGAAAGAAAGGAGAAAGUCCGAUUCUCCCACCAAGAGCUCUUCUUUCUGCUCAUAUCUCAUUUUAGAACCUACGAUGUCAGAAUUCUCCAAAACACUGGAAUAGCUUUCAGUGUCAGAAACUGAACUUCUGCACUUGGUUAUAUUGAAAACAUAAGAUUCUUAAGAUUAAAAAAGAGAAUAGGGUCACAUGAGAGAUGUAUCAUAGCAUGCAAAUGUUAAGUAUGCCAAAAAGUCAACUUAAUUGAAGGGCGUUGCUGGAUGGAAGCAAAUACCAUAGCGAAUCUUGCAAAAGAAGCAUUAUGUUUAUGGUAGAGCUAUGAUUUAUGUCCUAUGAAUAUCCUCAAAGCCCCAGAAUGAGACAAGAAUUCUUCAUUUGUUGCUUUAUAAUUUUCAAAGUUAUGCCAAUGAUCUGACAUUCACAAUCCUGAGAAGUAGGUAAGAACAGUUACUUAUUCCUUUAAUAAAUAUUUGCUGAACUCUUGUACAAUGUGCCAGGUAUAGUGCUAGUUAAAAAUUUCAUAUGUGCAUUUAGCACUUAGUAUAUUCUGGCUAUUAAACAUUUGUGAGUAUGAACUCACUCAGCACUCAUAAUUACCAAAUGCGGUGAAUUGUUCACAUUUUGCAGAAUGAGGGUCCAAACACACUAAAUCAGAUGUUGGAAGUCACACUACCAUCUACUAGUGCCAAGGGUUCUUAAUCAGGGGUCCAUAGAGCCCUAUCAUUGGGUUUCAAAUUUCCCAGGAGAAAAAGCCCAUAGUUUAUAUCAGUGUGUCAAAAGUAACAUAUAACUUUAAAAAGUUCCACUGUUGUGUUAGGAUUAGGGAUUCAUUGCUGAUCAGGAUCUGUAAGAGUAGUCCCAGCUCUCCUGACCCUCAGAGUUUAUCAGCCAGAAUAACUAGGCAGGCUCUUCUGUGCCUAAUGAAAGGCUUUUCUCAUCAUACCCUUUUAUCUGUUCAAUAAAUAUAGAUGUGCUGCAUGAUUUUUAAAAAAUGUUUACAUACCAUUUGAUUAUAUAUGUUAUUUAUAUCAUUAACUGAAAAUAUGAAACAUAUUGUUAGUCUCUAGUGUGGAUAUUUAGUUGUUUUCUUCCUAAUUUUUGCUACCUGCAUGAAAUAAUUUUUGAAUUUCUCAUAUAUGACUUUUGCUAAAAAUUUCCAUUUGUGUAUCAUUUUAUUGAUUAUAACAAUUUUAAAAAUAUUUCUCUAUAGUUUAUUUCUGUUUAUCUCUGAACUUUGCUUAUAAUACAUAUAUUUUAAUUUAUAAGGCAUUGUUUUCUGUCUCUAUUUUUAUAAUUAUAUUUAGUUUUAUUAUAAUGAAGUAAAUAUAUUUUGUACUAUAUGUCAUUUUUUGGAAUUAAUUUUUUUCUAUCUUUAUAGAAUGUGUGUAUGUAUGUGCCUGAAAUAUACAUAUAUGCCAUAGACAUUUAUAGAUAUUUAUAUGUAUAUACCAUACAUAUACAUACACUAACACACAUACGUAUUUCUUAUUUUAAAAUAUACAUUUUUUUCAACUUGCUUAGUUAGAAAUUUUAGUCUACAAAUUCUGCUCAUAUUCCUUAUAUUGCUAGGAUUUUUUCUCCAUACAUUUCAAUGCCAUGUUUAUUAGGAAAAGUUACAUAUUUGUUGUGCAUAGAAUCUUUUAUUACACUAAAGUCUUUUUCUUGGUUUGAGUUAUUGCAAAAUGCUUGGAUUUUAACUCCUUCAUAUAAAUAUUAUGACCCUUGUUUCUUUCGGUUUGUUUUUAUUUGGUAAAUUGUUGUGUAUCCUUUUACACUUAUUUUUCAGAGUCCGUUUCUUUCAGGCAAGAUUGUCUUGUAGAUGGCACAUUGUUGUUUUUUAUUUCUAGUUGUAUUAUCACAGUGUCUAAAAUUUUUCUUUCGGAGCUUAUCAAAUCUUCAUUUAUUAUUGUAAGAGAUAAACUUGGUCUUUUGUCUUCUUAUAUCAUGCUUAUUUUGCUAUUUCCUUUGCUUUUGUAUUUUUGUAAUAUGGUGUGUGGUUUUUUGCCUACCCUCCACCUGAGAAAACUCAUGUGUAUUGUGAUUUUUAGUGCCUUACCAAACCUAAAAACUGAAAAUUGCAUGUUUAAACCUGUGUUUAUUAGUUUAUCAAAUUUAGCAUUAUUGACUCUAGUCAUGAAAAAUGGGGAACAUAGCACACUUACACCUUACCAAUCAAAUGUUUUUGUUCUUGAGCUUCUUUAUGGCAUAUUUUUAGUGGCCAUUUUCUUAGUUUACCACCUUCUCAUUUGUAUAUAUUAUUUAAUGUCUUUUCAACUUUUGCUAAUUGUAAUACACUUUAUAUUAAAACAUUCUGCUGUGAAUUAAUUAGAUAUUAUUUCCAAUUAAUUUUGGAUUUAAAUGUAUUGAAACUUCACCCACAAGCCAUUUUAUGGCAUGAUUUUCCCAUUUGGGGAAUAUUUAUUCCUCAUUUCCUUGUCGUUAAUUGGAUAUAAUGUAUGCAUAUUUUAAAGAUAUAAACCAAACACUAUGAAUUUUUCCUUCUUGCAUACUUUAGGAUAUGAUUCUAUUUUCUUCAAAUUUAAAAGGCAAUCUGGUUACAUGUUUAUUUUCUAUCAGAACUCUAGAUGUGCGUCAUCACCUCAAGACUUACAAUACUGAUGUUAAAAAAGCCUACGAUCAUUCUAUGAGCAUGUGUGUGUAUUUUCUUUAAGUUAUUUGUUUCUUCUUCCUGAAUACACUUGUUAAAUUCUUUCUUUAUUGUUGAGUUUCAUUACAUUUAUUAUAAUAUUGUCCUAUGCUCAACAUUCACUAUUAGUUUUUUGUUUUUUGUUUUUUUUCUGAAGCAAGUUGAUUCCUUUUUUCUACAGACCUAGUUUUUCUUACAUUUCAGGGAAGUUUAUUUCUUUAGAAAUUUUAAUCUAAUUUCAGUCUUUUUUAACUUCUUAAAAAAAGUUAUUAUCCAGAUAUUGGAACUCACUUCUCUGUUAUGGUUUCAUGAUCCUAUCACCUCUCUUCUUAUCUAGUAGAGUGUAUAUGUAAGGAUCAUUAGCGUAAAAACCAAAAUACUGCUGCAUAAAUUUGGGAAACCACCCAUCAAAAUGCAAGAUUUCUGAUAAACAGUUGGUGGUGAAUACAGUAUUGAAGCUGGCCUAAGUCUUCCUAGCCCUCGUUCUUAAAUUGGAAAGAACAAGUUAACACAAAGAAGGUUUUACUGUAAAGAGAACAGCAGGUGUGCCUUGCAUGCACUUCCUACACACAGAAGGAAAACAGGGAGCAACAUGGAACAUGCUGAGGUUGUGUCCAGGAAGCAAAAGAAAAACUAGCAAGAUGGCUGUCUUUGGAAAAGGUACUCCAACUCAUUAAUAAAACAGAGAUUAUUGUGCAUAAUCUGUUCACUAACAAGAUCAGCCACACUUAACUUACGGUGGCACAAUUAAGGAGCUACAAACAGGUGCCAUAACAUCGCCUGUGACACUACAACUAGAAAGCAAGAAUGAAAUUUACUCUUUGUAAAUGUUGAAACAGAAAGAGGAGGGGAAGAGGAGCAAACACCAUCAUACUCACGUAAUAUUUAUAUGACAAAUAAAUUGAAAAAUAUUAAAAUGUAAUUUUCUAUGCCUUUACUUUGAAUUAUGUGUAAUUUUCUGAAAAUAUUGCCUAUGUCUUGUUCCAACUUUGUAUUAGGUAAUUGGUACUUCAUGCUGAUUUUAGAGAAGUUGAAAUUUGAUACUGCUUUUUCACCUAAAAUUAUUUUUAAAUUAACAUGGAUCAGAUUUUAUGUCAUUCUAUAUUUUUUAUUUUAUAUUAUUAAUUAAUAUUCAAAAUUUGAAAUUAUAAUAAAAUUUACUGUGUCAACUAUUAUAUA